rfam:Capsicum annuum cultivar Zunla-1 chromosome 6, whole genome shotgun sequence
ACUUUAUGGUUGAGGCAUUGCAAAAUCUUUCCAUUAAAUCCCUCCCACACAUCAUAGAAGCUCUCCAUCUAAUUGAUGAAAAUUUAAGAUUUCAUCUCUCAAUU